rnacentral:rRNA from 1 species
GCGGCAGGCCUAACACAUGCAAGUCGAGCGGUAGCACAGAGAGCUUGCUCUCGGGUGACGAGCGGCGGACGGGUGAGUAAUGUCUGGGAAACUGCCUGAUGGAGGGGGAUAACUACUGGAAACGGUAGCUAAUACCGCAUAAUGUCGCAAGACCAAAGUGGGGGACCUUCGGGCCUCAUGCCAUCAGAUGUGCCCAGAUGGGAUUAGCUAGUAGGUGGGGUAACGGCUCACCUAGGCGACGAUCCCUAGCUGGUCUGAGAGGAUGACCAGCCACACUGGAACUGAGACACGGUCCAGACUCCUACGGGAGGCAGCAGUGGGGAAUAUUGCACAAUGGGCGCAAGCCUGAUGCAGCCAUGCCGCGUGUGUGAAGAAGGCCUUCGGGUUGUAAAGCACUUUCAGCGGGGAGGAAGGCGGUGAGGUUAAUAACCUCACCGAUUGACGUUACCCGCAGAAGAAGCACCGGCUAACUCCGUGCCAGCAGCCGCGGUAAUACGGAGGGUGCAAGCGUUAAUCGGAAUUACUGGGCGUAAAGCGCACGCAGGCGGUCUGUCAAGUCGGAUGUGAAAUCCCCGGGCUCAACCUGGGAACUGCAUUCGAAACUGGCAGGCUAGAGUCUUGUAGAGGGGGGUAGAAAUUCCAGGUGUAGCGGUGAAAUGCGUAGAGAUCUGGAGGAAUACCGGUGGCGAAGGCGGCCCCCUGGACAAAGACUGACGCUCAGGUGCGAAAGCGUGGGGAGCAAACAGGAUUAGAUACCCUGGUAGUCCACGCCGUAAACGAUGUCGAUUUGGAGGUUGUGCCCUUGAGGCGUGGCUUCCGGAGCUAACGCGUUAAAUCGACCGCCUGGGGAGUACGGCCGCAAGGUUAAAACUCAAAUGAAUUGACGGGGGCCCGCACAAGCGGUGGAGCAUGUGGUUUAAUUCGAUGCAACGCGAAGAACCUUACCUGGUCUUGACAUCCACAGAACUUUCCAGAGAUGGAUUGGUGCCUUCGGGAACUGUGAGACAGGUGCUGCAUGGCUGUCGUCAGCUCGUGUUGUGAAAUGUUGGGUUAAGUCCCGCAACGAGCGCAACCCUUAUCCUUUGUUGCCAGCGGUCCGGCCGGGAACUCAAAGGAGACUGCCAGUGAUAAACUGGAGGAAGGUGGGGAUGACGUCAAGUCAUCAUGGCCCUUACGACCAGGGCUACACACGUGCUACAAUGGCAUAUACAAAGAGAAGCGACCUCGCGAGAGCAAGCGGACCUCAUAAAGUAUGUCGUAGUCCGGAUUGGAGUCUGCAACUCGACUCCAUGAAGUCGGAAUCGCUAGUAAUCGUAGAUCAGAAUGCUACGGUGAAUACGUUCCCGGGCCUUGUACACACCGCCCGUCACACCAUGGGAGUGGGUUGCAAAAGAAGUAGGUAGCUUAACCUUCGGGAGGGCGCUUACCACUUUGUGAUUCAUGACUGGGGUG